GACGAACGCUGGCGGCGUGCUUAACACAUGCAAGUCGAGCGGUAAGGCCCUUUCGGGGGUACGACGAGCGGCGAACGGGUGAGUAACACGUGGGUGACCUGCCCUCAGCUCUGGGAUAAGCCUGGGAAACCGGGUCUAAUACUGGAUAUGACUCCAUGACGCAUGUUGUGGGGUGGAAAGCCUUGUGCGGCUGAGGAUGGGCCCGCGGCCUAUCAGCUUGUUGGUGGGGUGAGGCCUACCAAGGCGACGACGGGUAGCCGGCCUGAGAGGGCGACCGGCCACACUGGGACUGAGACACGGGCCCAGACUCCUACGGGAGGCAGCAGUGGGGAAUCUUGCGCAAUGGGCGAAAGCCUGACGCAGCGACGCCGCGUGAGGGAUGACGGCCU
rnacentral:rRNA from 1 species